rnacentral:lncRNA from 1 species
UCUAGGUCUGAAAGAAUGUAAAAAGCCACAAGGAAGUCAACUGCUGCAAAUAAAAGAGAUGAAAAGCAUCCAACACACAGCAAAGACCAGAAUCAGGCUCCACUGUGACAUCAGGGACUAGGACGGAUGAAAACAGUGACUUCUGCCUAGGUCUGCUCUGUGAGCAGGGUAAGAGACCACUGUACAACCUGGAAAUGGGUCAGGCCACCCACUGGCAUGGAGGCUUCCUUCCAAUGCAUACUAAUAAAGAUGGCAGGCAUGGAGACUAUAGAAAGCUUCUCUCAGUGGUGCAGGCCUGGAGGAAGGAAAAGCUCCUUUCCACAGAAAAACCAGGAAGCCCCAGCUAGACCCUAGCCCUUAUAAAACAGAAGUCUUCAGCCCCUGGAGGAGCAUGUAGCAAACUAUUGCUCCCAGAGCACAGUGGAAGAAGACCUAUUACAGCUGAGAAAUGGAUAUGAAAAGGAGCCCUCUACCCUACAUUGCAGAUGAUGCCAGAUACAUCUGACAAAGUGUUGGAUUUUUCUUCUCUGAUGUCAGAUUUUAGAUCUUUUGCUUUUUUAAAAUAAAGAUAUAAUAAUGCAUAACAUUGAAUGACUUCUUGAAUGGUUUAACUUAAAUUUAACUAUCAAAUAAAAGGUUAGAGAGAUUUAGCCAACUGGUAGUGUUCUUACUCUUCAGAAAACCACCCUUUUCACUGUUGCUGUAUUAUUAUUUUGGCUUUUACUGCUGUUACUUUAAAAAAUUAUUAUUCAUUUAAUAUCAAUGACACAAUGCCCAUAUGCCUUCUUAUUAGCCUGCAUACUUAUCCACAUUUACAUGUUAUACUAUGACUAUAAAAAGGUAAUAUUCUCCGUCAUGUUAAAAACUUCUGUUAGGGUGAGAAAAGUGUAUUCCUAAACUAUCAAAGUCUUGAUCAUUCCCUGAAGAGAAUGCUGUACUACUGCUGACAUGAAAACAGGCUCACUUUUCUCCAAACUCUCCCUAAGUUUGACUCUCAGUAUAACUCCAGGCGCAAGUGAAUACUUCCCCAGUGGCUCUUCCCAGUUGUGAAGAGGCUGGGAAUGUUUGCAGGCCUCUCCCACUGAGACUGUUAUUUUAGCCUCAUUAUUAAAACAGGUUGUACUAUCUAAGUUGCUAGAUUGUUUAGAGGUUAAAUGAAAUAAUGAGGUAAGAAUUCAGAAUGAAACCAAUACCCAUUAGGAACUGUAAUUAAGGACUAUUUUUAUCCCAGCAAGUUAAAUGCCCUCAAUAGCUUGUUCUGAGUAUUAAGCAACUGGGAUUACACCCUGGAGGUUAACCUCAAGAGCCAAAUAUUUUCCUGCUAUUGCCUAGGGAGAAUUCACCACUAAAAAAUUACCUCAAAGAACCAAUCAAAACAGCAGAAGAAUUCAGGAAUGUACUCUCUAAAUGCUGUCUAAUAGUCUCGCCUGUAUUUCUAAGAUGGUAGCCUCAAAAAGUAUCAGUUUAACUGUGGCCCAUGCCCAUUUCAUUCUUGGUCACUGGACAAAUGUAAGAUGGCUCUAGUGAGCUACUUGCUCAAUCCUAGUAUUCACACACAACCAUGUGAUUUCUUCAUUUGCCUUUUUUUUUUUUUUUCAAAUUGAUGUUCCUUUCAAUCCAACCUUAAUUUCUCUAGAAUCCUAGUUUGUGGUAAAUAUAUUUAUCUACAUAUGAUUUACUUCAUGUUUUUUCAAACUCCCUACAUCAACUAAAACCAAGUUGGAACAUAGGUUCCCCUGAAGACAAGUCAAGUGGUGACUGUUCAUAUUCCUACACCCUGAUUCUGUUACCUCAGAGUGCAGAAAGGACAAAAUCUCUUAGCUCACCAUUGCUGCCUCCAGAUACAUUACUUUUUCUCUUAAAUGUAAAAUAUUUCCUCACUUGAUGCAUAAACAUUUGUCACCCAU